rnacentral:rRNA from 1 species
UACGAAGGGGGGCUAGCGUUGCUCGGAAUCACUGGGCGUAAAGCGCACGUAGGCGGCUUUUUAAGUCAGGGGUGAAAUCCUGGAGCUCAACUCCAGAACUGCCUUUGAUACUGGUGAGCUUGAGUCCGGAAGAGGUGAGUGGAACUGCGAGUGUAGAGGUGAAAUUCGUAGAUAUUCGCAAGAACACCAGUGGCGAAGGCGGCUCACUGGUCCGGUACUGACGCUGAGGUGCGAAAGCGUGGGGAGCAAACAGG